CAAAUAAUAAAAUUUGAACAUAGAGAGGAUAUAAAAAAAUCAAAACGUCAAUCUUUAUACUUCAUAUAAGAGAAAACAAUUACCCCUGAUAAAGCUAGAAGAUCCAAUGUUGUCACUAGUAGAAAAAACAUUUAUUGAAGCCCCCCUGUUGAGGGGGGCAAAAUAUUAUACGCCUCAUUAGUCCCUGUUGAGGGGGGCAAAAAAUUAUACGCCCCAUUUGCCUGAGCUGUCGAGGCGGGCUGACCCCAUGUUCGCCCCAAUAGCUUUGUAGAAGCGAACAUAGGCCCAGCCCGCCUUAUUAGAGGUAUCCAGUCGAGGCGAACUUUGACUUACCCGCCUCAACGAUUUCGACGGCCCAAAUAAAGUGACCCAUCUGCCUCAACACAAAACAAUCACUGCAGUUAGGGUUUUACAUUUCAUUUCCUUUUUUACACUUCAUUUUCCUUAGCCGUUUUUUUCUAUCCUUCGAUCUCCUUUGUUGUUUUCUUCAUUUAAGUUUGCCAUUUUUUCACUGAAUCCCUUGUUUCUUUGAUCUUUUCGUAUCCUUAUCUCCAUUCUUUGUUGAAGAAAUUCGGGCUUUGAUCGAACUUCUUCCGUGUUUAUGGUUCACAAAGAUGGAGAGCAUAAGCAAACCGUCUUCCGUAAGUAUUUCAAGAUCUUGAUACAAACAAGCUAGAUCCGUCUUUGACGCGAGCGGUGGAUUUAGCGGCACAAACUCAUGGCGGCGUUAGGAUCUCGGUGGUGGAAGACCUCAUCAUCUGUAAUUCUUUAGAAGAGUUGGUCCUGGGUGGGAGAGGUGUCAAUUUGUGCAGUUUAGAACUAUCUUAGUUCGUUAAUUUUGUACUUUGAUUUGUUAAACCUUGUAAGAUAAUGUAAUACUAAAGAAAUUCAGAUGUAUCCCCUUGGAAAAACCAGUGAUAAUUUUGUUCUUGUACUCUAUAUUUUAUUAAUAAUAAUGAGAAAGGUUUACGAUUUCAA